rnacentral:rRNA from 1 species
AUGCUGCCGCCGCUGCUGCUGCCAAGUUGCUCCUCUGCCAUGCUGUUGCUGCUUUGCUGUGCUGCUGCUCCUCUGCUUGCGCCUUGCGAUAUUGUUGUGUACCAAAAUGUCUUAAAUGUAAAAUGUACUACUACAUGCUACCGCUGCAAGUGCUCUGAGGCGGGGAGUACGUUCGAGAUGGUGGCCAAGAACGAGAUGUGGGCAGCUAAAGACGCAGCAACGAGGGCACGGGCAGUUGACGAGUCGAAGAAGUACAAGAGGUCGCUUGUGGAGAUCGGUGUGAUGCUGUCGAUCAGCGCCAUCUACAUCCUCCUGAGCUUCCUCGUGCCGGGGAUGUCCUGGCAGCACCAGAUCAUGUGCUGGCAGAACGCGAUGAUGGCCUUCGCUUUCACCAUGAUGUUCACCUGGAUGCACCUGAGGACCUUUCGCUGGUCCAUCCACAAGACUGAGUUGCCUCUGGUUUAA